rnacentral:rRNA from 1 species
UACGUAGGCAGCGAGCGUUGUUCGGAAUUACUGGGCGUAAAGAGUGUGUAGGCGGUGCUCUAAGUUCGGUGUGAAAUCUCCCGGCUUAACUGGGAGGGUGCGCCGGAAACUGGAGUGCUCGAGCGUGGGAGAGGAAAGCGGAAUUCCUGGUGUAGCGGUGAAAUGCGUAGAUAUCAGGAGGAACACCUGCGGUGUAGACGGCUUUCUGGACCAUUGCUGACGCUGAGGCACGAAAGCCGGGGGAGCAAACAGG